GGGUAUAUACAGCUCAGUGGUAGAGCACGUGCUUAGCAUGCACAAGGUCCUGGGUCCUGGGUUCAAUCCCCAGUGCCUCCA
rnacentral:tRNA from 1 species